rnacentral:rRNA from 1 species
UACGGAGGGAGCUAGCGUUGUUCGGAAUUACUGGGCGUAAAGCGCACGUAGGCGGCUACUCAAGUCAGAGGUGAAAGCCCGGGGCUCAACUCCGGAACUGCCUUUAAGACUGCAUCGCUUGAAUCCAGGAGAGGUGAGUGGAAUUCCGAGUGUAGAGGUGAAAUUCGUAGAUAUUCGGAAGAACACCAGUGGCGAAGGCGGCUCACUGGACUGGUAUUGACACUGAGGCACGAAAGCUAGGGGAGCAAACAGG